rnacentral:rRNA from 1 species
GACGAACCGUGCGAACGUUGUUCGGAAUCACUGGGCUUAAAGGGCGCGUAGGCGGCUUGCCAAGUCGGGGGUGAAAUCCGGCAGCUUAACUGUCGAAGUGCCUUCGAUACUGGCAAGCUCGAGGGAGGUAGGGGUCUGUGGAACUUCUGGUGGAGCGGUGAAAUGCGUUGAUAUCAGAAGGAACACCGGUGGCGAAGGCGGGUCUCUGGGCCGUAACUGACGCUGAGGAGCGAAAGCGUGGGGAGCGAACAGG